GUCAACAAGAAAACAGUCAGCAAGAAAACAGUCAGCAAGAAAACAGUCAACCAUAAUCAGUCAACAAGAAAACAGUCAACAAGAAAACAGUCAGCAAGAAAAAAGUCAGCAAGAAAACAGUCAACAAGAAAACAGUCAACCAUAAUCAGUCAACAAGAAAACAGUCAACAAGAAAACAGUCAGCAAGAAAAAAGUCAGCAAGAAAACAGUCAACAAGAAAACAGUCAACAAGUAAACAGUCAGCAAGAAAACAGUCAGCAAAAACAGUCAACAAGAAAACAGUCAACCAUAAUCAGUCAACAAGUAAACAGUCAACAAGAAAACAGUCAACAAGAAAACAGUCAACCAUAAACAGUCAACAAGAAAACAGUCAACAAGAAAACAGUCAGCAAGAAAACAGUCAACAAGAAAACAGUCAACCAUAAUCAGUCAACAAGAAAACAGUCAACAAGAAAACAGUCAACAAGAAAACAGUCAACAAGAAAACAGUCAACAAGAAAAUGCUGCUCCCCCGUGUCGUUCAGGAGCCCAAACAAAGUUAGCGUGCUACAAUAUCGGACAGUAGAAACCAACCAGAAAGUUCGGAAAAUUGUCUGAAUCCUCCUUUGGCCACGACUGCCGACACAAGCAAGAAAACAAAGUAAAUACCGGAGACUCUGGAGGAAUAACGGGCGCUUAAAACGGAGGUAGACCGGACAAGAGCUAAAAAGCCGGGUCAACAUAAACCAUGGGGGACGCUUGGGGAUCUUGGUGACCCUGUAACCUUUCUGCUGGAC